rnacentral:rRNA from 1 species
UACAGAGGGGGCGAGCGUUGUUCGGAAUUACUGGGCGUAAAGGGCGCGUAGGCGGCCCGCUAAGUCGAACGUGAAAUCCCCGGGCUCAACCCGGGAACUGCGUCCGAUACUGGAAGGCUUGAAUCCGGGAGAGGGAUGCGGAAUUCCAGGUGUAGCGGUGAAAUGCGUAGAUAUCUGGAGGAACACCGGUGGCGAAGGCGGCAUCCUGGACCGGUAUUGACGCUGAGGCGCGAAAGCCAGGGGAGCAAACGGG